UCUAUUUCUAAUAAACGUCGGAGUAGGCGUCAGGAAUAUCAUCACGUGAAACAGAGAGUUCUCGAAAUAUUAGGUCCAAGUAGUACAUCAUCACCAUCAUUAGAACCGAGUACUUCAACGAUCUUUUGAGAUUGCAUGUAGAUAAAAAAAAUGCAGAGAUAGAAAUGGAUAAGAACACCAUCAAAAUAAAAAGGUACGAAGAAUUGAAGAAAUUCGAUGCUGAUAUACUUAUAUAUGAUCUAGAAUAUUUGAAAAAAUGUUUGUCCAAAUUUGGCCUCAACGGGGGUAAGGACGUAGCAGAGACAACACGCAAAAUAAUCUAACUCAUAAUAAGCCAUGAAUCAGGAAUUUCCCUGAAUUGGUCGGGUAGGAAUUAAUAAUAAAAAUGGAUCAGAAGCAGUGGCGAAUAUUGUUGAGCUUAAUCAUGGAUCUGUAAGGAUAAAUCCUAUUACAAGAAGUGCCACUGAUGUGGAAAUGAAUCAUGUAAUGAAUUGGCUUCGCAAUGCCGGUGACAGAGCAGGUGGCAGAUUGAAAAGAGCGGAGGAAAAAGAAGCAGGCAAUAAUGAGCAGUGAAUAAAUAUAUACUUUUUUUUUCAAGUAAGCUAGUCGUUUUUAUGUGUUC